CUUGCCGUUGUUUUUGAUUAAAAUUACACAUGCAAGUAUCCGCACACCCGUGAAAAUGCCCUAAACAAAACGGAGCGGGCAUCAGGCACGAACCCUUCAGCCCAAAACGCCUUGCUACGCCACACCCCCACGGGACAUCAGCAGUGACAAAUAUUAAGCCAUGAGCGAUAAACGACACACUUUAAAGCUUGACUUAGUUAUAAUCAUACCAGGGCCGGCCAAUCUCGUGCCAGCCGCCGCGGUUAUACGAAAGGCCCGAAACAACGACAAAACGGCGUAAAUUGUGGCUAGAAUCAUUACAGCUUAAAACUAAGAAAUAAACCUCUACCUUACCGUAAAACCCAGGUGGCAUGAAACUUCUUACCAAAAGCAAUUUGAACCCACGAAAACUAAGAAACAAACUAGGAUUAGAUACCCUACUAUGCUUAGAUGUAAAUAAGACGACAACCAACGACUAAACGUCCGCCAGAGAACUACAAGCGAAAAGCUUAAAACUCAAAAGACUUGACGGUGUCCCACACCCGACUUAGAGGAGCCUGUCCUAUAAUCGAUAACCCACGAUAGACCCCACCACCUUUUGCCAAAUCCGCCUAUAUACCGCCGUCGCAAAUCUACCUUUCAAAAGAACAACAGUAGGUACAACAGUAAUAACACUAAAACGUCAGGUCAAGGUGUAGCUAACAAGGUGGAAGAGAUGGGCUACAUUCUUUACUUCUAUAAAGCACACAGAAAAAACCUUGAAACAGGUUUCAAAAGGAGGAUUUAACAGUAAAACUGGCAAGAAAGCCAACUUUAAACCCGCUCUGGGACGCGUACACACCGCCCGUCACCCU
rnacentral:ncRNA from 1 species